rnacentral:rRNA from 1 species
UACGAAGGGGGCUAGCGUUGUUCGGAAUCACUGGGCGUAAAGCGCACGUAGGCGGACUUUCAAGUCAGGGGUGAAAUCCCGGAGCUCAACUUCGGAAUUGCCUUUGAUACUGUUGGUCUCGAGUCCGGAAGAGGUGGGUGGAAUUCCUAGUGUAGAGGUGAAAUUCGUAGAUAUUCGGAAGAACACCAGUGGCGAAGGCGGCUCACUGGCCCGGUACUGACGCUGAGGUGCGAAAGCGUGGGGAGCAAACAGG